UAGUCAGAACAAAUGACUGUGUGCAGAGCC
rnacentral:piRNA from 2 species